rnacentral:misc_RNA from 1 species
UAUUAUAGGUUGGUGGUGGCGGUACACAAAAGAACACGCAUUCAAAUUAUUUCCUGAAUUGAAAUAGGGCCUAGGCUAGGCCUAAACACGUUUGUUGAAUUUUGUGCUAGUUAAACUUUUAAAUGUAUACAUAAAGAUCAGGAUCUGGUCUUUUUAAAUUAAUAGUUGCUGAAAAAGUUUUGCUCAUCAUUUCCAAAUAUGGCAGCGGCUAAAGUGAAACAGCGUUAUGUUGUUCUCCACCAUCCAGACUUUGAAAACUUUGAUAAUGAGAUGUCUGUGGAAGACUAUCAAUAUUACACUAAACAUAAGGAUGAGUUUAUGCAGAUGUGGAAUGAGCAACCAUUAAUUUUCUGGAAACGACUGAACUUGAACUACAAAGGUUUUCUUGUUGAUUAUGGUACAGUUUACAAACUAAGGGCCUCGGGUCCCCUGAUGGAUAUGUUACUAAAAGAGUGCUGGGGAUAUAUAGACAGGCAGACAACUAAGGGUAACGAUGUUGAACUUGUUAUGCGGCUCAUUGAAGAUGGUUAUGUGUUAAUGAAAUCAAGAGAGCUCCUUCCUUUUGUUGAUGUUCGUGAUAAAGAAAAAUGUCCAUUCUUGAAUGACAGCACAAGAAAAAGCUUUAGAAGAUUGUUUGGAGCACCUAAAAAAAAUGGUUUACGUCUAAAGGUUUGGUUUCAAUAUCCGUUAUAUGUCAAAUAUACUGGCGCUUUGUGUAAGUAUUUGAAAAAAUGGAUCAACGCGACAGAAUUUAUAGAAGAAGACACUGGGAACUAUUGGAAGCUACCUGUAAAACGUGUUUUGGAUGCAUAUGAGCUGGAUUACUCCGUGUUAAUGGGUAAAAAUACGAAGCCCCCAUGGGAACAUACGGACACUGAUAGUAGCAUGUGGUGGGAGAACGGGGGCCUGUCAACAAUGAUGUUUCUCUCACCAGAAGGGCCCAAGAUUCUUGCUCGGUACCUAGAUUUGCAUGUACCUGAAUACAUGGACAAGAAAGAGUUAGAGGAACACAGGAUAGAGCAAGAAAGAAAGGAAGCUGCUAAGAAAAGGGAUGAAAGAAAUAUAAUUGAGUUUGCACUGAGGAAAGAAGCGGAGAAAAAAAAUCUUGAAAAAAAAAUGGAAGAGUUGCUUAUUAGUAAGACGCCUAUGCCAAGUAUGGGGGUGUUUAAAGGGAAGAAACCAACUAUACCGGAAGCUCUCAAUAACAAAGCAAUGCAAGUUUUCAAAUUACAAAAAGUUCGUCGAGAUGGAUAUGAAUCCAAUGAAGAUGAAGACUUGGAGGAUCCUGAACAGUUUUACAGAAAGUUUGAAAUUAAAGCUGAGCUUGUUGAUAAGCCACCGCCAGAGGAUUGUGACAUUCCAGUUAAUAUAUUCUUGGAUGCUGCAGAAAUGCGAAAAGAGCAGAGGAGGUUGAGAAGUGAGGGUCUUGUUGAUAAAGAGCUGUUUGGUGUUGAUUCGUCCAAGAAGAAACCCUUAGUGAUUGUAGAUGAAGAUUCAGAAGGUUGGGAUGAAGAUUUAAGUUAUGUGAAACUUAGAGAAAAACUAUCCAAGACUGGUGCUAUUCCUAAAGAGACGAGCAAUGGCAGUGAAUCAGGCUCACAAAGCCAAAACUCUAAAGAGAAACUGAAGGAAGCUAUAAAACUGGAAAUAGAUUCCAUCACCAAUCACAUCUCAACAAGGAAUAUGAAGACAAUGGAAAAACUAUCAGAAAGUGAUUCUGAGAAUGAUGAACCAUCCUCUGAGAAAAAGGAGAAGAAAGUACGUAAUUUGACAAUCAAUCUUGGUGGUAAUGGAGGACAGCAACGAAAGGUUGUAGUUACAAUUGAUAAGGACACACUAAAGAAAGAUGCUGGUGGAAUGGUUUGGGAACCACCAGAAUUUGUAGAUUUACUUUUUGCUCAGAAGCUUCUGGCAAAGAUGGAUGAGAAUGAUGAUGAGGAUCCACUUGUUCUACUGGCUAAGCAGAUUAUGGACAUAAAAACGGAUGUUGACUACACAAAGAACUUGGACUUGGAGUGUGCAAGCAAGCAUCUCCACGUUCUGAGUUAUCAGUCCAAGCUGAAAAGAUAUCCUAACCUGCGGAAGGAUAUCAGUCCUGAACAAGAGAAGUUGAGAAGUAAGCAGUACAGAAGAAGUGUUGAGGCUUUACAAGGAUACGGUAUAAGAGCAAUUGAGUUAGCUCGAGGUCAUGUUAUCUCAGCCACUGCAUGGAGGUGUGACCUCUUCAUGACUGAGGAGUGUUUGGAUGGAUUAGUAGUUGUAAAAAAUACUAAAAACACAACUAAGUUUUCACAUAGAACUGAAAAAACCAGAAACCGAAAGCAACGUGUAAAAGCUCCAAAAAACAUGAAGAAGGUGAUUCGAGAAGAGCGGAUUAAACAGAAGAAGGAAGAGCGCAUGAAGUCGGUUCGACUAAAACAGGACAUCAUGCGAAAGCAGUGGGAAGAAGAGAAAGCAGUUGUGGGGAGACGCUACAAUUCAGCAAACAAUAUUGGUGAUGAAACACCAUUUAUGAUGUACAAGAGUCUAUUAUGGGAAGUAGUCAAGGGCGAUGUACGAGCAAUGAGGAAUAUGAUUACCGUUUUGACUGAUACACGUAAUGACGACACUAGCGUGACCUCGCUAACGAAAGAACAGAAGCAGCAAAUUGAGGAUGAUAAACAACUUAUUGGCGUCUUGAUUAAGAAGUUAACGGAGUACAAAGACAGCAAACCGUUCAUUGCUUUUCCUUCAGGUAUGGAGCAGGUCACUGACAUCUACCAUGCUGUCAUUAUGGCCAAGAUGCUACGUGAGUCGUUGAGAGAACUAGAAACCGCAGACAACGCUCAGGUUCUUCCAAGCAGGAGUCUCAUUUUAGACACAUUUGCGGAAAUGGUUCCACAUUUUGCUGAGGAAGUAAAAUUUGAUAGUGUACAAAGGGUAAAAAAGUUCUAUGAAGGCCGAGAAAAGUACAAAUCCUUCAUUGAAAGGAAGAUUAUACAAGAGGCAGAGAGAAGGGUGCAAAUAGAGGCCAAGGAGAAGGGGGAAUAUGUGACGGUGGAAGACCGAGUCAAUUACACCAAACGUCCAGAAUUCCAGGACUUGGUCUAUGAAAAGCUUCUAGAAGGCUCCAAGAAUCGUGCUGAUAGUGGAAAAGAAAAGAAGAAGAAGACAAAAUCUGAAAAAGAUAAGAAAGGGGAAUCAUCAAGUGCUUCAGAGCAAGAACAAAAAUCCAACAUUUCCUUAGACCAACCUGAAGACAUAAAAUGCAAAUCGCCUCCCAGAGAUGAUGGUAAUGCGGAUUCGUCAUCCAAGGGAUCUAGUUUGUCUGAAGAGGCGAAGGCACAGGUGGAAACCGAUGUGCAGCUGUUUCUGAGUAGAGGAUGUCCGGAAGACUCGUCCCUUGAAUCUAGGAUAUUCUCCGCACUAGAUCAGGAAAAACAGGAUGAAAUAAGGAAGCACUACAGAAAAAAGGCUUUGGAAUCGGAAAAAAUAGAAGCGGUACCUAGCAAUGAUGAUGUUACAAAAUCAAAAAAAUCCUAUGCGUUCAAGUCCUGUUCUCAUUGCGAUAAAGUUGAAACUAGUCGAAAGCAGUUUAAACAGUGCCAAAGAUGUGUUGCAGAGAAAUCAAAAAGAAUAAGGUUUUACUGCACGAAGGAAUGCCAAGUUAAUGACUGGAAGCUGAAACAUAAGGAGCAACAUGCAACUGGUAUCUUUAAUUAGAAUUAACUAAUUUCCUUUACUGUAACUGUAAAACAAUACACCUCCUAACUUUCACGCAUAAUGUGCGAUUCUCAUGCAUGCGCAUCCACUUUUUACAUUUCACGCCUACGUUGUAUUAUCUCGCGCAUCAUACAUAUGUUUUAAGAUAAAAUAUGUAGGCCAAUUUUACCCUAAAAUACAUAAAAGAGAAGUGAAUUCGUCAUUAAAAUAUUAAUACCGACGGACGACUGUAUACAGUCGGUAGCAGGCGCUCUGUAUUGUGAUUAUUACAUGGAGGGCGCUAUAUACAUUUUUUUUUUGUAGCACGCAUCAGACAUUAACAAUGUUGGCAGGCAUAAAACAAUGUUCAGAUUAUCAAUCGUCAUUUGUAAGUAGCUAUCAGACCUCUGCAAGGGCCAAGGUUCCUCCUGUAGAUAGUCAAUAUGGUUAAUAUAUAAAAUAAACUUCUAAAUAAAUAUAUUGUAGCAUAAAUCUUGGGGUAUAAGAUGACUCUGACCUUUACUUGGAGCCCAAAAAUACAUUUAUUACCUGUGUUGACAUUUACUCAAUUAAACCAAAAAAAAUGAAAAAUUAAACCAAACUCAAUUUAAAACAUAGUAUGUAAUAUACGGUAGUUGCAUUUUAUAGCGCUUUAUACCAAUGUUGGAUUUAAAUUAUAAAUGCAGUAAAUAGAAAAAGUACAAUGAGUUAACCAAAUGUAGUCUGACCUGAAGGCCUACUACAAUAAUGUAAUGUGAUUUAAUAAUGAAUUGCUGGAGGGUGUAAGGGUGUGUAUUUUCAAGUUUCAAAUAAUAUAUUGCCACUUUUAAUGUUGAAAUUAUAUUGGUAUAUCUGUAAGACCAAAUGUGAUGAUCAUAUAAGAUGAUGAUUGGAGUUGGUGGAAGACCAACUCUCGCCUUCAGCCUCAUUGAUAAUAGUAAUGGUCACAUGACUUUUAAUUCGGAAUAAAUGUAUAUGAAAAUAUGUAUCUUAUUUACGUUUUUUUCCAAAUUUGUGAAGGAAUAUUUUCUGUAUAUAAAUUUUAUCAUGCAAAUCAAUCAUAUAAAAGUAAUCAUGAGAAAAUAUACAUAUGAUUUUUUUUUGUGUGAUUUUAUUAAAAGUGUUUGUUUUAUAUAUAUAUGGGUAUGCACUAUAAUUUAGCAUAUAGAAAUUUUGUUGGCAAUUUAUUUUGAGCAUAAAUUCUAAUGAAUGAAUUUGUGAUAAACUUUAAGUUUAGGGACAAAAUAAAUUCUGUUAAAUGAAAACUAGAGUUAAGGAUAACAUUUUAAAUAGUUUUAGUAUUAGGUAAGGUUGGCACUUAUGCUGUAUAAAUAUUAAAGUUUUAUUUGGUGUGGAGUA